GGGGAUUUAGCUCAGUGUCAUAAGCACCUGCCUUGCAAGCAGGCAGUCUUAAGUUCAAUCCCUG
rnacentral:tRNA from 1 species